AACGAACGCUGGCGGCAUGCCUAACACAUGCAAGUCGAACGAGACCUUCGGGUCUAGUUGCGCACGGGUGCGUAACGCGUCGGAACCUUCCCUUAUGUUUGGAAUAACUCCCCGACAGGGGUGCUAAUGCCGGAUAAUGUCUUCUGACCAAACAUUUAUCGCCGUUGGAUGGGCCCGCGUUGUAUUAGCUAGUUGGUAGGGUAAAAGCCUACCAAGGCGACGAUCCAUAGCUGGUCUGAGAGGAUGAUCAGCCACACUGGGACUGAGACACGGCCCAGACUACUACGGGAAGCAGCAGUGGGGAAUAUUGGAAAAUGGGCGAAAGCAUGAUCCAGCAAUGCCGCGUGAGUGAUGAAGGUCUUAGGGUUGUAAAGCUCUUUUACCCGGGAUGAUAAUGACAGUACCGGGAGAAUAAGCUCCGGCUAACUCCGUG
rnacentral:rRNA from 1 species